ACUGCAGGAGGGAGGAGAAGGAAGGAGGAAAAUAGAAUCAGUCUGCUUUCUGCACAGAUUUACUGCUCGAUCAACUUCCCACGGCACUUCUGGGGUUCUGGACACGGUGUCACUUUGUUUCACCUGUGUCAAGACUUCUGGAAGGUUUUCAGAGCUGGUAGCAGGAGAGAGUUGGUGUCAGUGGCAACUCGGGACACGGGGCAGAGCAGCUGCUUGGGCCAAUUCACGCGUUUUAUUUGUUCUUUUUUUAGCUGUCAGGUUAAUACUUUGUCCUUUAUGAGCACAUCCUGGGCAGGGCCAUGCCUGGAGAAAUCUGCUCUGCACAGACAGGUCGGGUUUAGCCAAGGAAAGAAGAGGAGGUGCCUUCAGAGGGGUCACAGACAGCUCUGCCACGGCCGCUGCCAAGAGAGGUUCCCGCAGUGAAGGACCUGGAGGACAAUCCCUUGUUCCAGCCCUUCUGCAUGGCCAGAACAUUUCAGGUCCAAGGCCUCCCACCUUGCAGCCCCUGGCUCACCUCCCCUCACACAGGAACCAAGCCCUCAGUUCCAAGAAGAGGUGACAAAGAGAGGGAUGUUUCAUCCUUUUCUCCUCGCUUGCACAGAUUCAGGGGCAGGGCAGAACACCCUGCUGCAUGGACAGCCCUCCCUGCACCCCAUUCAUUUUUCCCUGCUGAUCUUCUGUGGAUACAGAGAGCACAAAGAAAAUGUAACAGCUUGGCCAAAGAGCUACUGAACUCCUUGGCCUCACUGCAGAACCAGCAACGCCAAAGCCAGAGGUAAAUUAUGUUUUUUUCUGAGGGGUCUUGUGAUAUCUCUGCAUUUGCUUCAGUACUGGGGAGGAGUUUGACAGCCCUGCUACAAACAAACCAUUUUCUAUAGCAGCUGCUCCCCCAGGCUAUCUCCUCAUGCCUUGCACAACACAGACAGAAAAGCAGAGAGAAAAGACAGAAAAGCAACGUUAGGGCAGAGCAAGAAUUGCAAUUUGGCUUCCUAAGUGCCAAUAGCAGCAACAGCAACAGGACACAGAGGCCUCUUCAGCCUGGGGCCAGCACUGGAUGUGAGCACACAGCAAACAGCUUUGCACUGAUUUCUGGGUUCUGGACGUGUUGAUGUCAGCAGAAGGUGACAGUGGAAGGUGACAGUGGAGGUGUCAGUGCCUUCCUCUGGGGAGGCCACUCUGGCUCCACAGGUGAGUCCCAUCCAAUUCCCACCUCCAUGAGCCAGGUGCUGGCUGGAGCUGGGCACUGGGAGGGCGUGGCACAGCACAGGGUCACUUUGGGGUGAUUUUUCCAAAGAAGGUGCCUAGCCCUAAACACAUUUUAUCCUUCUGAGCUUCCCAGGGAUGUGAACAGAGUCAAAGCCUGUGCUCAGAGCUGGCUGCAAGCAGGACCAGAGCAUGGAGACCCCCUUGUUCUACUGCCAAAACCUUCCUCUUCCCCCAGCCUUGGUGCUUCCCUGUCUUUUAUCAGCACCCGAGCACCCCAGGACAGAGAAACUGCCCAGCUUGAGGGACCCAACCCAACAUUAGUCCCCUUUGGCCCCCUCCAGCUGGAGUCAGGCUGAUGUGUGUGUGAUACUGAACAUCCUCAGGUUAGAAAUUCCAUCUGUCAAGGAUGUCAUCCAGGUGAAUUUUACCAGCCAGGAAAAGGAAAGCUGCCAGGAAAUCACUCCCACUGCAAUCCCACAGCCAUCACAGAUGGCAAGGGGUUGUGCUGGUCAUGUCAAACUGUUUGCCCAGGGAUGUAAGGACAGGAAAAAACAAUGGCUGGUAAUAAAUGAAAUGCUGGAAAGAUUGUAAAGUGAAACGAAGGAAUUUAAGGCAGGGAGUUUAUAUGGCCUAUUUCCUGAUAAAAUCAGACGUUCCAAAGUGUCCCUUCACAGUGUGGCAAGACUGCAGUGAGCCCGAGGCAUUUAUGGGCAGCAGAAUAGGCAGUUUCCCUGAAAAAGGAUAUUUCAGAGACAUGGUUUUAAAGGUUGCUCCAUGGCUCUAUGCCCACUGACACUAGAAGAAACCCUUGAGCCAAAAUGCACAGCAAUCCAGAAGGACCCUUGGGGUUUAUUUAUUAUCCCCUGUUCCCAGUGUGGGAAUGCUGAGUGCAGCAGUCAGGCCUGUCUGCUCUGGGCUGGACACUGCAAACCCACGUUUGAGACACGGUUACCUUUCAAUGUGUUUUUCAAUCUUCUCCCUGUAAUAUACCAGGGAUAACAGCGCAGUGAGGACGGCGUGGCAGACCCUUGGCGACAGAUGCCCUUUAACCAGACUGAUAAAUGCCUUUCCCUUUGAACCAAUCUCCCUCCUCGAGGCAGCACCUUUGCCACGAGGCAGUGACACAGAACAGGCUGUCCCCAAGUCUGCUGCUCCUCCCAGAAAUGUGUCUGUGCUGCCUGCAGCACUCAGGAGAAGCUGGUACCCCUGGAAAGAAGCAGGAGUUCAACUCCAAUGCUUCAACCGGAGUUGUGCUUGUUGCUCCCUCUUAAUUUCUUGUCACGGCUGAAGGUUGAAGCACAGUCCCCACCGGUGCUGCCCCACCGACACUGCCAUGGCUGAGGGCUGCUG
rnacentral:lncRNA from 1 species